rnacentral:rRNA from 1 species
AAUAGAUACCCUGGUAGUCCACGCCCUAAACGAUGUCAACUAGUUGUUGGGGAUUCAUUUCCUUAGUAACGUAGCUAACGCGUGAAGUUGACCGCCUGGGGGGGUACGGUCGCAAGAUUAAAACUCAAAGGAAUUGACGGGGACCCGCACAAGCGGUGGAUGAUGUGGAUUAAUUCGAUGCAACGCGAAAAACCUUACCUACCCUUGACAUGGUCGGAACCCUGCUGAAAGGUGGGGGUGCUCGAAAGAGAACCGGCGCACAGGUGCUGCAUGGCUGUCGUCAGCUCGUGUCGUGAGAUGUUGGGUUAAGUCCCGCAACGAGCGCAACCCUUGUCCUUAGUUGCUACGCAAGAGCACUCUAAGGAGACUGCCGGUGACAAACCGGAGGAAGGUGGGGAUGACGUCAAGUCCUCAUGGCCCUUAUGGGGUAGGGCUUCACACGUCAUACAAUGGUCGGAACAGAGGGUUGCCAAGCCGCGAGGUGGAGCCAAUCCCAGAAAACCCGAUCGUAGUCCGGAUCGCAGUCUGCAACUCGACUG